GACGAACGCUGGCGGCGUGCUUAACACAUGCAAGUCGAACGGAAAGGCCCCUUUGGGGGUACUCGAGUGGCGAACGGGUGGGUAACACGUGAGUAACCUGCCCUUGACUUCGGGAUAACUUCAGGAAACUGGGGCUAAUACCGGAUAGGAAUCCUUGCUGCAUGGUGGGGGUUGGAAAGCUUCGGCGGUUUUGGAUGGACUCGCGGCUUAUCAGCUUGUUGGUGGGGUAGUGGCUUACCAAGGCUUUGACGGGUAGCCGGCCUGAGAGGGCGACCGGCCACAUUGGGACUGAGAUACGGACCAGACUCCUACGGGAGGCAGCAGUGGGGAAUAUUGCACAAUGGGCGGAAGCCUGAUGCAGCAACGCCGCGUGCGGGAUGACGGCCUUCGGGUUGUAAACCGCUUUCAGCAGGGGCGAAGCUUGUGGUGACGGUACCUGCAGAAGAAGCACCGGCUAACUACGUG
rnacentral:rRNA from 1 species